CUCAGCCACCCCUAUAAAGGUUGCUCUGCCAGGCUGUCAGGGGGGCUGCUGCAGGAGAGCUGUGGAGCCGAAUCCAAGGAGAGUGGGACAGAGAGCGGUGCGGAGAGCGGUGCGAAGAGCGGUGCAAUCGGCGGAGAGAGGUGAAGUUGGCGGAGAGCAGUGAAGUCCACGGAGAGCGGUGAAGUCAACGAUGAAUAGAAGAGCUGUAACAGCUCUUGUAAGAGCUAUAACCACGUUUGGCGGUCCAGCCUCCGGUGGCCCUGAGCCGCCACCCUGCCUCCAGCAGUCCCGCCUCCCGCAUCCCGGAGCCGCCGCCUACAGUCUCCAGCCGCCUGCAGCUUCCAGCGGUCCGCCUCCAGCGGCCCCGAGCCACCGCCUGCAGCCUCGAGCUGCCUGAGGCCCCGCCUACGGCGGCCCCCAGCCGCUGCUUGCAGCCCCCAGCAUCCGGGGCCCCGAGCCGCCGCCUGCAGCCUCCAGCAUCCGGCAGCCCUGAGCCCCCGCCUGCAGCAUCCAGCCUCCGUCGAUCCGAGCCACCGCCUGCAGCCUCUAGCCGCCUAAGGCCCCGCCUCCAGCGGUCCAGCCUCCGGCGGCUCCGAGCCGCCACCUCCAGCAUCCGGUGGCCCCGAGCCGCCGCCCGAGCAUCCAGCCUCCGUGGGCCCCAAGCCGCCGCCUGCAGUCUCCAGCCGCCUGCAGCUUCUAGCUUCCGGUGGUCCUGCCUCCCGCGGCCCCAAGCCGCCGCCCGCAGCUUCCAGCCUCCGGCGGCCCCAAUCCGCCGCCUGCAGCCUGUAGCCUCCAGCGGCCCUGCCUUCAGCAGCCCGGCGAGCUGCCGAGACCCCAGCGGUCCAGCGGUCCUGAUGCCUACAGACCCUGGAGGCCAGCAGUCGGCGGUCCUGACACCUGCAGCCCCUAGAUGCCAGUGGUCUCGAGGCACAAGCAGCCCUGAGAUGCCAACGGCCCCUAGACACCAGCAGCCUCACCGCAAAAUGCCUCGCCACCCCGAACCACAAGUGGCCUUGUCCGCAGUGGUGGCUUCCUCCGGGUGGAAGCCUGGUCAGAGUAGCAUCGUGGGGAGCAGAGUCUGUGUCAUCCGGGUUGUCCUCCUUGUCAUUGUUGCUGUCAUUGUUGCUUCUUCGUCAUUGGGAGUGGCCUCAUCCAGGAAGUGGCCUUGUCCAGAACAGCCUCUUCUUGGGAGCGGCCUUGUCCGGGGAGCAACUUCAUUGAGCAGUUGCCUUGUCUUGGGAGUGGCCUCUUCUUGGGAACAGCUCCAAUUAUGGAGCGGCCUCAUCUGCAGAGCAGCAGCGUCAUCUAGAGCGGCCUCGUCCAGAGUGGCCUUCUUGGAAGUGACCUUGUUGGGAUCAUUGUCACCGCCUUUUUGUAAGAGGUAGUUCUGACCAGUCAUUUGAUUCCUGAUGCUUG
rnacentral:lncRNA from 1 species